rfam:Oryza glaberrima chromosome 12 Oglab12_0127_12, whole genome shotgun sequence.
AAUAAGUGCAAUUUUAUACUGUUAAUGUCCAGCGUUUGAUCAUUCGUCUUAUCCGAAUUUUUUUUAUGAUUAGUAUUUUUGUUGUUAUAAGAUGAUAAAACAUGAAUAGUUCUUUAUGUGUGACUAAUUAUUUUUAAUUUUUUUCAUAAAGUUUUCAGAUAAGACAGACGGUCAAACGUUUGGACACAGAUUUCUACGGCUGUAUUUAUA